rnacentral:rRNA from 1 species
UCAGACGAUGCGUCAUGUAUAUCAAUAAGCGGAGGAAAAGAAACUAACAAGGAUUCCCCUAGUAACGGCGAGUGAAGCGGGAAGAGCUCAAAUUUGAAAUCUUAAAGGGUUUCCCUUUACGAAUUGUAGUUUAAAGAAGUGUUUUCUGUUGAGGUUUUGGUAAAAGUUCUUUGGAAUAGGACAUCAUAGAGGGUGAGAAUCCCGUAUUUGACCUUUACUUUCAACUUUGUGAUACACUUUCAAAGAGUCGGAUUGUUUGGGAAUGCAGUCCAAAAUGGGUGGUAAAUUUCAUCUAAAGCUAAAUAUUGGCGAGAGACCGAUAGGCGAACAAGUACCGUGAGGGAAAGAUGAAAAGAACUUUGAAAAGAGAGUUAAACAGUACGUGAAAUUGUCAAAAGGGAAGCGUUUGACACCAGUGUUGUUUUUCUGAAAAUCAAUUAAAGAACUGUUUAUGCUAAGUUGUUUAGACUUUAUCAGCUAACUGUUUAGUUUUGAGCUUUUCUUUAAUGCACUUUUCAGUUAACAAGUCAACAUCAAUUUCUUUUGCUGUAAAAAAGCUUGAGGAAGGUGGCUUGAGAUUCGUCUUAAGUGUUUAUAGCCUCUUGCCUAUGCAGUCGGAGAGAUUGAGGUCUGCAGCGUAGAUCCUUCGGGGCUAAAUGCAUUUGUGCUAAGUUAUAGCAUUUUAUAGACAACUUGUUGACUAUGAUUUGUCUUGUAGCUUACUCGCUUAUGUUAUUUUACCUACGCUUAGGAUGUUGAGCGCAUGUCUCUCUCU